rnacentral:rRNA from 1 species
CCUACGGGAGGCAGCAGUGGGGGAUAUUGCACAAUGGGGGGAACCCUGAUGCAGCGACGCCGCGUGGGUGAAGAAGCGCCUCGGCGCGUAAAGCCCUGUCAGCAGGGAAGAAAAUGACGGUACCUGAAGAAGAAGCCCCGGCUAACUACGUGCCAGCAGCCGCGGUAAUACGUAGGGGGCAAGCGUUAUCCGGAUUUACUGGGUGUAAAGGGGGCGCAGACGGCGAUGCAAGUCAGAUGUGAAAACCAUGGGCUCAACCCAUGGCCUGCAUUUGAAACUGUAGUUCUUGAGUGUUGGAGAGGCAGGCGGAAUUCCGUGUGUAGCGGUGAAAUGCGUAGAUAUACGGAGGAACACCAGUGGCGAAGGCGGCCUGCUGGACAAUAACUGACGCUGAGGCGCGAAAGCGUGGGGAGCAAACAGGAUUAGAUACCCUUGUAGUC